rnacentral:lncRNA from 1 species
AGUGGCUCUCGGAGGCAAAGUCUUGGCGCUACGAAGUGCCCACGGCAUGACGGUCACAUUGUUGGCAUCAGCCAUUGUUGACAGCCAAAGCCGCCGUCACACUUGCCACAGCAACAAUAACAACAAAUGCAGCGGCAAGAACAACAACAAGUUAGGAGCAACAGCCAUGCAACGCCAACAACACAGGUACACACAAAUAACGCCAGCAGGCCAACAACAAUAACAAAUAGUUGUUGACAUUUAUGCCGGCGAAUGUCACAUGCCAGGCACGCCCCUCAGCGCAAAGCAGUAAGCAAGUGCACUGGAAGAAAGUGUCUGUAGAGAAAAUCAAGGAAGUGCACAAAAAUGACUUUAACUUUGAAUUAAAGGGGGGUAUAAAUACAAAAGUAGUUUGUUUCCAU